rnacentral:misc_RNA from 1 species
UUUUGAACAUAUUUGGAUCUGUUUCUUUCUUGUCUAUCUGUUUUUCUGAUACAUUUGAUUCCUAUCUACUCUUCCAUUUGCUUGGUGACCCAUCUCGAAAUCUCCAUAAUUCAUUUGCUUAUAAAAUCUUUAGAGAGAGCAAGCAGGAUAGUUAUCUUUGCCAUAAUGGCUGCAGCUAAAAAUAACACAGGAAAAUCCAAGAAGGUUGUUGAUGAAACUGAGAGGAUGACGAGGCAAGAUUGGGAGCUUG